rnacentral:rRNA from 1 species
UACGAAGGGGGCUAGCGUUGCUCGGAAUGACUGGGCGUAAAGGGCGCGUAGGCGGAUUGUACAGUCAGGCGUGAAAUUCCCGGGCUCAACCUGGGGGCUGCGCUUGAGACGUGCGAUCUUGAGUGGGGAAGAGGGUCGUGGAAUUCCCAGUGUAGAGGUGAAAUUCGUAGAUAUUGGGAAGAACACCGGUGGCGAAGGCGGCGACCUGGUCCUUGACUGACGCUGAGGCGCGAAAGCGUGGGGAGCAAACAGGG